rnacentral:lncRNA from 1 species
ACUCGGUUACACCCCAUAUGUCCUCAGACUCUCCAUGCUUUCUGCCUUCCGAACAAUACGAUUCCAAUUGAUCCCUACCGGGUAUUAUCCAUGAUGCUUUAACCAAAGCGCAAACGAUCAUGCUAGACGCAGUUGUUCGUUUCAAUCCCUCUUUUGCCUGGACCGCCCUUUCGGGUUUUCAGUCCACCGGGAUACCCCUUUUCGCCCAAGUCGCCUUUUCAGGUUUUCGACUUGCCGGGUGUACAGUUUUUCU